AGAGGGCGACAACGCAGCGCCACUCUUACAGGAAUUCCCUUCACCUCUUCCUUCAUGAUCCUAUCUCAGCACCGUCUCUGCGAGGGGGAAAAAGAAGGCUCGCUGAUGAAUGGCCUUGCCCGAGAUGGACAGCCGUAUUCCUUAUGAUGACUACCCGGUGGUUUUCUUGCCUGCCUAUGAGAAUCCUCCAGCAUGGAUUCCUCCUCAUGAGAGGGUACACCACCCAGACUACAACAAUGAGUUGACCCAGUUUCUGCCCCGAACCAUCACACUGAAGAAGCCUCCUGGAGCUCAGUUGGGAUUUAACAUCCGAGGAGGAAAGGCCUCCCAGCUAGGCAUCUUCAUCUCCAAGGUGAUUCCUGACUCUGAUGCACAUAGAGCAGGACUUCAGGAAGGGGACCAAGUUCUAGCUGUGA
rnacentral:sRNA from 1 species